UACGAAGGGGGCUAGCGUUGCUCGGAAUCACUGGGCGUAAAGCGCACGUAGGCGGAUCUUUAAGUCAGGGGUGAAAUCCUGGAGCUCAACUCCAGAACUGCCUUUGAUACUGGAGAUCUCGAGUCCGGAAGAGGUGAGUGGAGCUCCGAGUGUAGAGGUGAAAUUCGUAGAUAUUCGGAAGAACACCAGUGGCGAAGGCGGCUCACUGGUCCGGUACUGACGCUGAGGUGCGAAAGCGUGGGGAGCAAACAGG
rnacentral:rRNA from 1 species